rnacentral:piRNA from 1 species
UAAGAGAAGACAUAAAAGGUUAAGGUAGGA